ensembl:lncRNA
GUUCAGUAACUUUUGGCAGGCUGACCAAAACCCUCCCCUGCCUUCCCGCUGCUUUUCAUGCAACCCUGUUAAUGACCACCAGCUGUGGGGCCACUCCUCUGACCACUUUGCCUGGCCUCCUGGGUCUUCAGUGCUUUCAGGGCUAAGGGGCCUCUAUAGUCUCCUGCUCUCUGGCUUCCCCCUGCCUCAAGGAUCUCCACCUCCCAGAGCAUUGCCAAUUCAGCAGGAGCUUCCCUGGGAGAGAAAGAUCCAGACUGACUACAAGAACCAGGAAGAAACCAAAGCAGAGGAGAAUCUUUUCUAUGUACCAGAUUCUGCUUACAUAAUUUUUAUCUGUGGACUUUCCCCAUUUGUCAGAAAACUGUCAUUGCACUCAAGAAGACUACCUUAGAAAUACAUUGUCAGUGGUGAAACUGGCUAGAAUGUUGGCUGGAAUAGAUAGUCUUGAUCCUAAAGCCAUGCCUAGGCAAUAGAUAAGAUCCUUGCCCCUACCCCCACCACAGAGAUGUGUUAAGAAGACAGCAGUGUGCUACCAGUCAUUCUGGAUUGCCACAGGACUGGGAGCUUGGCUCACAUGCAUACCCUCUGCCUGGGAAAAGUGCUACUGCUUCGAAUUUAAGUUUCUCAGUCAAUUAUUACCACUUCUUUGUUUUGCUCUCGAUGCUUAUGGAAUAUUUGCUAUUGUAAUUC